CAAUAUAAGUGAUGGCGACCGGCGCACGGGUGAGUAACACGUAUCCAACCUGCCGAUAACUCGGGGAUAGCCUUUCGAAAGAAAGAUUAAUACCCGAUGGUAUAAUAAAACCGCAUGGUUUAAUUAUUAAAGAAUUCCGGUUAUCGAUGGGGAUGCGUUCCAUUAGGCAGUUGGUGAGGUAACGGCUCACCAAACCUUCGAUGGAUAGGGGUUCUGAGAGGAAGGUCCCCCACAUUGGAACUGAGACACGGUCCAA
rnacentral:rRNA from 1 species